rnacentral:rRNA from 1 species
AUUGAACGCUGGCGGCAGGCCUAACACAUGCAAGUCGAACGGUAGCACAGAGAGCUUGCUCUCGGGUGACGAGUGGCGGACGGGUGAGUAAUGUCUGGGAAACUGCCCGAUGGAGGGGGAUAACUACUGGAAACGGUAGCUAAUACCGCAUAACGUCGCAAGACCAAAGUGAGGGACCUUCGGGCCUCCCACCAUCGGAUGUGCCCAGUUGGGAUUAGCUAGUAGGUGGGGUAAUGGCUCACCUAGGCGACGAUCCCUAGCUGGGCUGAGAGGAUGACCAGCCACACUGGAACUGAGACACGGUCCAGACUCCUACGGGAGGCAGCAGUGGGGAAUAUUGCACAAUGGGCGCAAGCCUGAUGCAGCCAUGCCGCGUGUAUGAAGAAGGCCUUCGGGUUGUAAAGUACUUUCAGCGGGGAGGAAGGCGGUGAAGUUAAUAACUUCACCGAUUGACGUUACCCGCAGAAGAAGCACCGGCUAACUCCAUGCCAGCAGCCGCAGUAA